GCUUCGGCCGUCAUCCCGCCCCCAUUGCCCCCAACUCCGAUCGCUGCCCCGCCCGAUCGCCCCUGAAUCUCGCCAUCACCCCACCUUCAUCUCCUCCCCGGAACUUCCUGCUGUGCACACCCACCUGCGUUCCCCCGGAGAACCGACGCCACAUUAGUCGCCUACUUGCCCCGGCUCACUCUGCCUGCUUCCUAUUCCAGAAAAAUUGGGGGCCAUCGGCGGGGAUCCAAGCUUUUCUCGGCUCUGCCCAGCGCCUCCCCACUCUGGCACGAUCACCCAAAGUGGAGCUCCCACGCCGCCCUUCUUCCUCAUCCCGGUUCCCACACCUCUGCCUCCUCCCGAUUGCCCUGACGGGGACACAACGCCAUCCCAGUCCAGCCCCGCAGUGUCAGGGAGGUCGGGGCCAUCGCGAGUAGCAGUCCAGAGCAGUCAAGGUGAGGGCCUGCGUACACUGCCGCCGCUCACCUCCCCAUGACCUGCAUACAGAGUUCUAACUUGUUGCAAAAGUUCAAAAAGAAGAAUAUAUGCAGUCCAACUUAUUCUAGCAUGCUGCUUCUCCUUCGAAUCUAGAUGCUACAACAGUCCUCCUUUGUGAAGAUGAACUGAAUGUUGUUGUUUUGAUGUUCUAUAGAAAGUGUACUGAAUUUUGCAAUUUUAUCUUUUUUACACACACUACUCCUCAAGCUGGCGGCCGCGGGACCCUGUGCCUCCACGGGCCUCAUCUCCCGCUAUCGGCGACAGCACUCCCUUCCUCCAGCACGUCGCCGACGAGGCCAACCGCCUACACCGUCUUCGGCUGCAACGAUGUCGUCUCGACGAGGCCAACAGCUUACACCGGCUUCGGCUGCAACGACGUUGUCUCUCUCCGUCAACCUUCUCGUCAACUCUGUACAUCAGUUUGAUUGCCUAUAAACAAAAUUCUAUAAUUUUCAUGUCUGAAAUUAAGGAGUUCAUUAUAUCCAUUACAAAAAAAUGUUGAAUUUUUAGAAGUUCUAGUACAUAUGUUAGAAGAGUUCAUUGACAAAAGAAAAUCAUCAGUUCUUAACAGUUAAAAGAAAUGAGUUUUGCAAUUAUGGUGCUGAAAAUUUCAUGACCGGUGUUCUUUUGGGAUGAACAUUUGUACAUACCCUGUUUUUACUUUACUCGUAAGGACUGAGGAGAUGAAUGUGUUCUAUCUUUUGGACUCAGUAUGUUUUAGUAAAAGUGAAAAAAAUGAACUUCAUUAAUGCAAAGAAUAAUCUUUUUUUCUUCUGAUAAAACUUAUGUUUCUAUUGGGAAUAUCUGGUGUGAUCUAUGCUUGUAGUGAUCAUGAAUAGACUAACAAUGAUUGCGUUGUUACGGCAGCCAGCAAGGGAAACGGUGGUGUAGCUUGUUGCUUGCAAAGGGAUGAGUGGAAGGUGAAGAACCGAAGACACUGCAGGGACAAAAGUUGGAGGUCUGCUCAAAUUUUUUGUUACGGAUGCCUCUUUAGUAUUUACAGUUUCAGUCACCACCGGCCUCCUCCGACAUGCUCGUCACCUCCUCAGCGCUGGAGUGAAGGUCGGCUCCUAUGCACUCUACAGUUCGGUUUCUACUGAUGUUGUAGCUCCUAAAUCCGCCGUGGACACACCUGUGACACCCCGUGACUGGCCGGUGGAGCUCAGCCGCUCCACUGCUUCCCCUUCCCAUGCAUCACGAAUCAGGGCGCGGCCAUAACAUGCUAGCAAUUUUAUGCUUUGGCUGGUAGUAAUGUGUUUGUGCUAAUGUCCGGUAGGAACUCUAGUUGUACUGAUAAAAGAGAACCAAACCAACAUAUAAGGGAAAAAAGCAGCAUCUCUCUAUCUUUGAUC